rnacentral:misc_RNA from 1 species
AACGCAUAUUGCGCUCUUUGGUAUUCCGAAGAGCAUGCUUGUUUGAGUAUCAGUAAACACCUCAAAGACAUUUCUGAUUUAUUUCUGGAAUGACUUUGGACUUGAGCAAUCCCAACACCAGUCGUUUACGAUCGGCGGAGGGUUGCUUGAAAUGCAGGUGCAGCUGGACAUUCUCCUGAGCUAUAAGCAUAUCUAUUUAGUCCCGUCAAACGGAUUAUUACUUUUGCUGCAGCUAACAUAAAGGGAGUCUGACCGUAUUGGCUGACUGAUGCAGGAUUUCACAGGGGUUGGAAACGACUCUUGUAAAACUCGAUCUCAAAUCAAGUAAGACUACCCGCUGAACUUAA